AUGCUCCCGCUCGCCCGCGCGGCCCUCCGCCGCCUCGGCCCCGCGGCCGCGGGGGAUGGCUCCCUCCCCGCCCGCCUCCUCCUGCUCGCGCCGCUCGCCUCCAAGCCGUCGUCGUCCACGCCGCCGGAGUACCAGAUGCCGUCGGUGACGUGGGGCGUGAUCCAGGGCCGCAGGGAGCGGCUCGUGUCCCGCGUGCUCGCCCUCGACUUCCUCCGCUCGGCCGGCGUCACCGACCCCGCGGGCGAGCUGGAGGCCGUGGAGCUCCCCUCCUCCCUCGACGUGCUCCAGGAGCGCCUCGACUUCCUCCUCCGCCUCGGCCUCUCCACCGACGACCUCUCCGCCUACCCGUUCCUCCUCGCCUGCUCCCUCCGCAAGAACGUCAUCCCCGUCCUCUCCUACCUCGAGAAGCUCGGGGUCACGCGCGCCCGCCUCGCCGCCUUCGUCCGCGCGUACCCGGCCUGCCUCCACGCCUCCGUCGCCGUCGACCUCGCCCCCAUCGUCAAGGCGCUCCGCGGCCUCGACGUCGACCGCCAGGACAUCCCCCGCGUCCUCGAGCGCUACCCCGACGUCCUCGGCCUCAAGCCCGACGGCACCAUCAGCACCUCCGUCGCCUACCUCGUCGGCAUCGUCGGCAUCGCGCCCCGUGACAUCGGUCCCAUGGUGGCGCACUACCCUUUCUUCCUUAGCAUGCGUGUUGGCACCACGAUCAAGCCGUUCUGUGAUUACAUUACAUCUCUGGGUCUGCCGAUGCGGAUUCUCGCGAGGAUUAUUGAGAAGCGGCCAUACAUUCUUGGCUAUGAUCUUGAGGAGACAGUCAAACCAAAUGUUGAGGCAUUACUCAGCUUCGGCAUUCGGAAGGAGGUGCUGCCACUCAUGAUUGCGCAGUACCCAUCCAUUCUUGGGUUGCCCCUGAAAGUGAAGCUAGCCGCACAGCAGUACUUCUUCAACCUGAAGCUCAAAAUGGACCCUGAUGGAUUUGCCCGUGCCGUCGAGAAGCUGCCACAGCUCGUGAGCUUGCACCAGAAUGUGAUACUGAAGCCCGUGGAGUUCCUCCGCGGCCGGGGGAUCACCGAUGAUGAUAUUGGGCGCAUGUUGAUCCGGUGCCCCCAGAUUCUUUUGCUGCGGAACGAGCUCAUGAAGAACAGCUUUUACUUCUUCAAGAGCGAACUGAAGCGGCCAAUAAGUGAGCUUCUGGAGUACCCAGAGUAUUUUACAUACAGCUUGGAGUCGAGGAUCAAGCCUAGGUACAUGAGAGUGGCAAGUAAGGGGAUCAGAUGUAGCUUGGAUUGGUUUCUGAACUGCAGUGAUCAGAGGUUUGAGGAAAGGAUGCGAGGGGAUUUCAUUGAAGGGGAUGCACCAGGACCUUCAUUUACAAUGGGUGGGAAGCUUCAGAUGCCUGGCAACCAGAUAGUGUCAGAUGAUGAUAAUGAGGAUAGUGACGAUGAGGUCCUAUAUAGGCGGACGGUCAUGCUCUAA
rnacentral:rRNA from 1 species